UGCAGUAGUCUGCACAUAAUAAUCAGUUUUAACACGUUCAGUACAACCAUAGGCAGAAAUAUAAGUGCAAAGAAACAACUGAAAAAAGGGUGUGCCCAGUGCUGAAAGCUCCCACACAAGUUGGGGGUCUGGGGAAGGGAAUUUCUAGACAGCCUUACCCUUGCAUAAUAUUUCUGCAAGGAGGCUGGCUCGAACCCAGGACCUCCAGGUCACACAAUAUUCUACCAUUGUGCCAGGCCAGCCCUUCCAAGGGGCGAAAUAACUGACAAAGAAAAAUCUUAAUGCAUAGCAACUUUAUCUCCUUUCUUGACUUUCCUGUUUUCUAACUUCAUCUCAUUGCUUAUUUUACUUUUUCUUGUGAACAUGGUGCUUAAACUUGAACAUUUGUACAGUGCUACAUGAAAUUGGUGUCACCUCUCUAGAAUUAUGUGAAACUCAUAGGUGGACAUUCUAACACAUGGAGUACACUAACAAAGUUUUUGCAGCACUUGAUGUUCUUCAUGUCAUUGAUGUUAAAAUAAAGCAGUUCAAGGUUGCUACAACCCUUUUGCGAAACACAUAGCAGGAUAAUACGUGGAUGUGUGCUGCUGCAUGGUCUAGUCUUCAUGCCAGACAGUAAACUAGGGCAUCUUGGACCAGUACAGUGUCCGCAGACAUUCUGGAAAUUGCUUCCCCAGUUGUCAUCUCCACAUCAAAGAAUGAAACAUCCUGUUUUAGAACAGCUUCAAGGUAUAGAGAUCGGAUGCGUAUUGACUGCCUUUCUCCAGUCAUUGUCCAGCAUGACACCUCUGCCACAGGUAGCAAGCAGGUUAAUGUUUAAGGCUGUCAGCCACUCCAUGGAAAUUCUGUUGCGUGUGAAUGCAAUCCAACUAAAAGCAGAGAUUAUGCAACUCAUUCGUACUGCUCGGUAUUUUGGUUCAAGUUAAAUUGGAAAACUACUGCUAGUUGUAAGUUUUAAAUUUCAAUUGUGGUAGAUUUCAUGCAUUAUUUGUUCAUUUAUUUAUUGUUGAGAAUCAGUAUUAUUUCAUGAGGUUCCAGAUCUGCCUGGUAAGUCAUGCUAUUGUUGGGGUACUUGGA